rnacentral:rRNA from 1 species
CAUGAACGUUGGCGGCGUGGAUUAGGCAUGCAAGUCGUGCGCGAUGUGUAGCAAUACAUUGAAAGCGGCGAAAGGGAGAGUAACGCGUGGAUACCUACCCUGAGGCCCGGGAUAGCUGCGGGAAACUGCAGGUAAUACCGGAUGAUGUCUCUGGACCAAAGGUGUGAUUCCUCCUUAGGAUGGGUCCGCGUCCUAUUAGCUAGUUGGUGAGGUAAUGGCUCACCAAGGCGACGAUGGGUACUGGGUGUGAGAGCACGACCCAGCUCACUGGGACGGAGACACUGCCCAGACACCUACGGGUGGCUGCAGUCGAGAAUCUUCCGCAAUGGGCGAAAGCCUGACGGAGCGACGCCGCGUGUGGGACGAAGGCCUUCGGGUUGUAAACCACUGUCAGUUGGGAGGAAAUAUCUAGGGGUUCUCCCCUAGGUUUGACCGAUCUUCAGAGGAAGUCCGGGCUAAGCUCGUGCCAGCAGCCGCCGUAAGAC